GUUUAAAUCCGGAUGUUCCCUCUUCCCAGGAAGUUUGUGUGCGCGCGUGAUCGAAUGGAGGGUGUUUGAGCUAUCGUCUGGAGCAUGAUCGUUCGUCUUUGUUUGUUCGUGUGAGUGUGUGCGUGUGUGUGUGUUUUGUUUUGUUAUUUGUAAAAAAAAAACCUACACAGUGAUCUUAUUUGAUCUGGUCGGGGUCUGGCUCUGCCCUGACUCAGAGAUGAUAGAAACCGGCAUGCUAGCCUCCGUGGCGAUGUGCAAGAGGCAACACAAAUACUCCAGGGCCUCCACAAGAAGUUGUGGUCAGAGGUGAUGAAUUGAUCAGAUAUACUAGUUCACAGUGGAUUUGGGUUCGUCUCAAUUUUCACGAAGAACAAUGAGUAUAGAGGCGAUUCUGAUCUAA